rnacentral:rRNA from 1 species
UACAGAGGUCCCAAGCGUUGUUCGGAUUCAUUGGGCGUAAAGGGUGCGUAGGUGGCGUCGUAAGUCGGGUGUGAAAUUUCGGAGCUCAACUCCGAAACUGCAUUCGAUACUGCGGUGCUUGAGGACUGGAGAGGAGACUGGAAUUCCUGGUGUAGCGGUGGAAUGCGCAGAUAUCAGGAGGAACACCGGUGGCGAAGGCGGGUCUCUGGGCAGUAACUGACGCUGAGGAGCGAAAGCGUGGGGAGCGAACAGG